CUAUGUUGUCCCAAAUCAAACCCUAAUCCCUAACCUUUUCCUUCGGCCCGAUGAACCCCCGACCUUCUUCCUCCCUCCCUACUGAAGGUGAGACUAUGCCAGUAUUGAGAGACAAUUGUGAAGAAGGAAAAAGGAGGAGAUGAAGCUCAUCAUCAUCAGACAUACUUUACAUCUAUUUUUAGGCAGUUUCGUGAUGGUUCGCCAAGAAUUUCGCAAUAGGUGCAGCUAUGGUUUGUAAAGCUCAUGCUCGCCAGGAGGCCUUAAGUUUAAGAUUUCCAAUUAGGUGGGCUAGCAUAGUCCAAGGUUUGUUUCCAAAAACGGAUUUAGUGGUGUUGACCACAGAUGAAGUAAGCAGAAAAGAUUCAAUAAUGGAAACUCUAAUUUCCUUGCAGGGUUGAUCCCUACCCUCACCUCUAUAUAUAGUUAUCAUUGAUCCAUUAAGUGAUGCUAAUGAUCUAAAGCAAAAGGGAAAAAGGGUAGACCAGACCAACAUUGAUCAUAUUGUACGAGGAGCAUACGAGAAGAGAUUUAAGGAGUUGUUAUUCUUCAACCAUAAAUGCAGGGGCAAUUUGAUGGUUGAAGAUGAACUUUAGGAGAGUCGAAGUCUUCAGGAAUGUAGUCAAGUAAGUGGUACUCUUUCCAACACACCUAGAUUUGCCUCAUUUCGAAAUCGUAUGAGCAGUGCAAGGUUCAGGGGAAUUUUUGUCAUUUUACCUAUUCCAGCAUUGUGGUGAAACUUAUGGGUGUAUGAAAUGGGUAAAAUUCUAUUUUAUGGUAUUUUGAAAUGUUCUUAUGCAUUAAGUACAUUAGGUAUGGGCAACGUGUAAUGAAAGCAUUGAUUUCAUAGGU